CUGUUCUCAGGGCAGGGAGUCAACUGUCUCAUCUGGUCUCAGGGCAGGUUGUCUGAGGGCAGGUGAAUCUCCUGGUCUUAGGGCAGAAGUCGGGUUUAGGGGGUUAGGAUUAAGGUUGUGCCUUGAACUGCAGGCAGGGCUGCCUGGAAGGCGCCAUUAGGGGCUCAAAAUUCCAUCAAGCAAAUAAGAAGUCAGGGGAAAGAUGAAUGCAACCAAGACUUGUAAAUAGGAAAGAGCAAGAUGAAAGGACAUGUUAGUUUUCUUAUUAUUACCCCAUUGCCUGUUUACGUUAUCUCCAGUGUUGUUAGACAUGCUGAAGUCAGUAUACAGUGUCUUUUUCUAAUUUCAGAAUAUGGCAACACACUGGGUGAAUGGGGUUAAAAGACAGUUGAAGAAGCCACGUGACUCCAGGGUCCACCAAGAUGUUCGCAUUAUUAGUGGGGAUGCCAAGGAGUUCAUGGAAGGUUAUAUCAACGAAGUGCAGGAGAAGGAGCAUUGCUACUUCAGACCCCCAGUCUGCCCCCUGCAGGACUACUAUCACUAUGGCUGUGACCGUGGGAAACAUUCUACAGGCAAAAGCAAUGGGGAAGCCACAAAAACCCGGGCCAAUUCUUGCAAGGCAUACAUCUCUUUCAAAGUCAUCACGGACGCCGGAAUAUCAGGUGCCAUAAUCCAAAAGAUGCUACAGCACACUGGCCAUGACGAGGAUAAUUCGAAAGAGAAGAACCGCAUCCUCCCAGACUUGCAUUCCCUGGUCGAAAUAUGGCUUCAACAGGGUUGGUCCACUUCUGAGAUCUUAAUAAGAAGCCAUGAUUGGGCUCAACAAAAUGGCCAUGUGGACAAAAAAGACAGCCGGUUUUACUUGACCCCUUAUGACAUUCGGCUUUUAAAGAAAAACCUCAGAGGUGUGACUGACAGUGAUUCUGUUUAUGUGGACCAUUUGGUUUCCACGGAACUUAUAGACAAAAUCUGGUUUUAUCAGCCACUUCACAAUGAACAACCAUUCAUUGUUGUUGUACAAACACCAUUCCAAAAGCUACUUUUGGAAGAGAACCCCCAUCCAAUGGUUUUCAUGGAUGCCUCAUACAAAGGCAUAACAGCCCACGGGUAUGCAUUUUAUGCACUGUUAUUGAUAAACAAAACUGGAAGAGGCGUGCCAUUUGCCUAUUUUAUCCUGAGUAAGGAAACCACUGCAACAGUAAGCCUCUGCCUACAGAAGCUUCAAUUGAAUAACCCAAGGUCAGUGAUGAUGGACCGUGACUUGAGGGUGCUUAAUGCCAUCAAAAGAGUUUUUCCCAAAUGCAAAGCUUCUCCUUUGCUGGUUCCAUAUGCUUCAGGCUGUCAACCGGUGGCUUGUGAAGACAGAUGGAGGUCACCUGACAGCUGAGCAAAGAAAUGUGGUCAUUCAUGCAAUGGCAUCAAUGAAAGCCUGCCUGACGUUCACAGUCCAGAGGAUGAUAUCCACCGCUAUCGUGUUCGGCGCACCAGGAGCAUGACCCUCUGCCGAAAACCAAAUGACUGCCAUCAUUGGGGCAAUUGUGAUUUAACCUUUGUACUUGUUCAUGUCAAGCCAUGGAAACAGUGCUCUAAUUUAAAAUAAUGUUACAAUUUACAGAGUGAAGUGUCAUGUUUUUCUUAGUAACAUAAUCCAAGCUUGUGUUUAUUCAACCCAGUCUCAUCCCAACGCGUCAAAUAUUGACGCUUGGGCAGAGCCCUUUGGCGUCACUAUACCGACGCCGGGGGACGCCUUUUUCGUCGUUUUUUGACGCCUAGGGACGCCUAGGGACGCCCAUUGCCUUCCACGUUAAUAUGUUCGGCUUUUCCCGUAGAAAAUUGUGAACUAUGGCGUCGUCUUUUGACGCAUUAGGUCUCCCAUAGAUUUUGAUGAGCGGCUUUCGGAUUUUUACGAAACGUCACCAUAAUAAAUCGGGUGAUUUCGUAAAAAUCCGGCCGAUGUGCUUUCAACAGGAUUUUUGUUGUUAUAUCCAAGACAUAAACGUUAUAAAUGACAUAAACCUUAUUUAAGGACAUAAAAGUUAUUUAUAAAAUGGACUGAUACCAAAUAAACCGAUCUAAAAAGGUAGGCCUA